GUUCUAAUCACUUGAAAUGGAAAAUAAGCAGCAGGAUCUAGUCUGCUGCAUGUAACAAAGGGAAAUGAGCCUGUGACCCUUGAAACAUGUCUAAUUUCCUACAGUUUAUGCUUAACGGAUGUAGAAUAAUGGAAGCUAUUUCAACAGGAGACGAUCAGAGGAGUUUUCCUGGCAAGAACACCUAUUGACAGACAAUGGACCACAAGUCACCCCAGCUGAAUUUAAGUCAUUACAAACAAAAUAGGAUGUUGAACACAUCACUAGCAGCCCGCAUAUCCCACAAGCAAAUGGAGAGGCUGAGAUGGCUGUACAGAUAGCCAAGAAAAUAUUGAAGCAGGAAGAUCCAUUCCUUGCUCUUCUGACUACAGAUCAACACCAUUAAUAGCUACUGGCUAUAGCCCACCCCAGCUCCUGGUGGGAAGGUAACACAGGACUACUGUUCCAACCUGGAAAGGAAUCUAGCCUCAAAGUGGCCAGACCUCUGCAGACUACCAAAAUUCCCCUGUCCCCUCAUUCCCCCCCCAAAAAAACCCCAAAACUUAUGAACACUUUCAUAACCGAUGUCACUCUGCUAGAGAAUUACCUAAUCUGGAACCCAGCGACCACGUUUGUGUCAAACUGGAUGGAGGCAAAGGAUGAAGAACUUCAGCUGUUUUAAAGAAAAAGAACUCAUUGCCCAGAUCAUGCACUACCGAGACAGACAGUGGUUUGUUUAACAGAAACUGUUGACAUCUUCAGUUUGUUCCAAAGAGUGAAUAAUUAACUGAGCAAACUCUACAAAGAGUGACUCCUGGAAAACCCAGAAUUAACCCUUGACAAAAUAAAUAGAAUUUGCCAAGCAAACAAGGUCACCCAGUCCCACAGAAGGCUAAGGAAGGUGGACAGAGCUCUGACAUUGUGGAUAUGAUAGAGAAUCCAAAAUACUAAAAGAGAAGAGACCUGUGGCAGAAAUGCAUGCAGAGCUAAGUCAGCGUUCACCACAAACGGCCCAUGCUGUGGCAAACAACGUAAGCCAAGACAAUCCUCAGCACAUGGAAGGAGCUGCAAGAGCCACAAUGGAAUAUAUAACAUUGCAAGAGUCUGCAAGCACCAGCAGAGUGUGCACAGCAUGGACAAAGGGGUUUUUGACAGCACCACUUGCUCAGAGGAAUUGUUCACAGGAGCAAUGCACAAUGGUGCAGCACAAGAUGGGGACUAUCAGACUGAAAACAAAAGGAGUAUUUUAUUAAUUGAAUAUUGAGCAGAGGUGCGCCAGCCAAUGGGUUGCCAGAAACAGUGACAUUAGCACUGAAAGAAAAUCCACAGGCAGUAGAAGUUAAGCAGGGUAAAACUCAGACCUUACAGUGGUAGCAUAUCCCUGCAAAGGAGGCAUGUGAACUAAAUGUAAAGGUGCGUAACAAUUUGGAAAAGAUACAAUUUGUAAUAGUGCCGGGGAAGAGAGUAUCCAUUAUAGGGUUGAAAAUGUGUCCAAACCUUGGUCUUUGUCAAGAGGGUGUACUCAUUGGAGAGGCAGGGGACAAAAUGAUUGAGGACAACUUCCAGGGGCUAGGGAAGCUCUCAAGAGAGAACAGAAGAGAAUUGAAAGGGCCCAACUGCCCCACAACUCAUACCCCUAGAAAGUUCUUCUCAUCCUAAGGCAGUGACUAAAAGAGGAAAUGGAUAGACUUAUUGCUUUGGGGAUCAGUAGAACCACCAAUAGAAUAGGUACACAUUGGUCAUGGUGAAAAAAAUGAUGGACACAAAAGAAUGACAAAUAUGUAAAAAGAGAACAUUUUUCACUAUGAACAUGAGGAGAAAUAUUCUUCUACUCUUGCAGCAGCAGGAUUCUGGCAGGUGCUCUUAGAAAACAGAAUACUUAUCUGUGCACAUUCAAUGCCCCCUUUGGGGAAACAGUGUUUUCAUAGAUUGCCCAUUAGGGCUGUGUUUUGCACCUCAGGUAUUUCACAGAAUAAUACAACAGUAGUUAAUGGUACAGAAGCUACUGAUGUCUACAUAGGUGAUAACUGAUCUGAAGGAAAAGAAUAGCAGAACAUGACCAGAGGCGCUGGGCAGUUUUAGAAAGAGCCAGAGCGACUGAGCUAAAGCUAACCAAACUAAAAAAAGUAAAUUCAGUGUAACAGAAAUAACAUACCUGGAAGAGAAUUUAACACAGCAAGGAAUACAGGUAGAUGAUAGUAAGCUUGAGGCCAUCACCUCCAACAGACAAGAAAGGAGUACAAAGUUUGCUUGGAAUGGUGAACUAUGUAGAGAAAUUUGUGCAUGAAACAGCAGACUGAGAGCACUACUAUAUAAAAAUAUCCAAAGGACAUGGGUUGCAAACCUUUAUAAGGAGUUGAGCAACUGAAGGAGUUAAAGUAGCCCCCAGUUCUAAGGUACUGCACAAAUCUAACUUGAGGUACUGCACAAAUCUAACUUGUCUACAGAUACCUCACAGGAGUGCUUUGGUGCAGUGCUUUUACAACAGUAUGGUCAGAACUUGUGACCAGUUGCUUGUGUUUCAUGAGUGCUAACAAAAUCAGAGUGUCAGUGUGCUAAAACAGAGAAGAAAACUUUGGCCUUACUUCAUGGGUGUGAAAGUUUCAUGUCUUUAUUUAUGAGAUAAUAAAUCACUUAUUGAC